GCAGCCAUGAGAAGAGAAGCAGCACUAACAGCCAGCCACACGAGGAGCCAAGGCUCAGACAGAAAAAGAUGAGGAUCCCCAGAGAAUAGACACUACACCGAAAAAGCGUGGCUAAAGGAGUUUAUUAGCACUAUGGUUCUCACCACUGCUUGACAACUGAGGGGAUUGUGGAUCCUCGCUUUGUGGACUGGCCAAAAUUGCUUGUGGUGGCAGGGACAACACUGCGGAGAUGCGCCGUUGGGGUGGUGAUGAUGGUGCUGCUGAUUCAGCCUCAAGACGGCGUCUCUUGGUUGGCCUCCUAGGCACAGUCACCGAGCCCUGCGAUGGGCGCCUUAGUGGAGGGGGGUUUGCAGAAGAAGAACCUAUGUGAUAAGAUAAACAUUAGCAUUUUGUGUUUCUAUGUGUUUGCUGAAUAUGUGUUUACAGUUAAAUCUUACCUGCAUUCCCACCAUCUGCAUCACUUGGCAGUGUUGGAUGUGGCCUGGCUGUGCUGCUUCUCUUUCGUACUGUAAAAAUAUGAAGAAUGACCUUAUGAACAUACUUUUUUUUUAUCAAUGUUUGUGCAAAAUCCUUAUUGUGAUGUAAACAUA